rnacentral:rRNA from 1 species
CCUACGUGGGGCAGCAGUGAGGAAUAUUGGUCAAUGGACGAGAGUCUGAACCAGCCAAGUAGCGUGAAGGAUGACUGCCCUACGGGUUGUAAACUUCUUUUAUAAAGGAAUAAAGUGCGGCACGUGUGCCUUUUUGUAUGUACUUUAUGAAUAAGGAUCGGCUAACUCCGUGCCAGCAGCCGCGGUAAUACGGAGGAUCCGAGCGUUAUCCGGAUUUAUUGGGUUUAAAGGGAGCGUAGAGGGGUUGUUAAGUCAGUUGUGAAAGUUUGAGGCUCAACCGUAAAAUUGCAAUUGAAACUGGCAGUCUUGAGUACAGUUGAGGUAGGCGGAAUUCGUGGUGUAGCGGUGAAAUGCUUAGAUAUCACGAAGAACUCCGAUUGCGAAGGCAGCUUACUAAACUGCCACUGACAUUGAUGCUCGAAAGUGUGGGUAUCAAACAGGAUUAGAUACCCUUGUAGUC